AUGAGCUCUCCAUCCCGUUCUGUCUGGUUGCCAUCUGUGUGUCCUUCAGUGCUAGGGCCGGCAGCUCAUGGCUGGCGAUCCUCAGAAAUGCAGAUACUAUCAAUUAUUGGUGUGUUAGUGGCAAAUAUGUGGAUGGAGGUGGGGGAGAGUGAUUCCCAGGUGUUGGAUGAUCUGAUCAUGACAGUGGAAAGCCAUAGCUUCAUUUUUCUAGUAAAUGUAACUCCCACAGUGAAACGAUUUAUUCUCGGCAUCAUCCUCUACACUGUGAAAACACUUGUGUCUCAGCGGUUCUCAUUCACCGUGGAUACUGAAACCAGGGCAGUCACACUUCAAAAACGUUCUUCACCGAGAGUCUCGGGGUUUCCUGCUUCAACAGUGCUUGGACGGAACCCGCGCUCGCCCCCCAUCCCAGCCGGCCGCCCACAGCCAGGCCUCUGUCACCUCUUCACCGCGUCCUCGGACCGCCCAGGCCCCUGCCUCCGCCGUGAGGGCCGCGUCCACCUGGCAGGUGCACCAGACUCAGAGGCCGCCGCCAACGCCAGAUCAGCCUGGAGCUCUCCGCUUCCUACAUCUACCUGUCCAUGGCUUACUACUUUGACCGCGAUGAUGUGGCUUUGAAGAACUUUGCCAAAUACUUUCUUCACCAAUCUCAUGAGGAAAGGGAACAUGCCGAGAAACUGAUGAAGCUGCAGAACCAACGAGGUGGCCGAAUCUUCCUUCAGGAUGUGAAGAAACCAGACUAUGACGACUGGGAGAGCGGGCUGAAUGCGAUGGAGUGUGCUUUACAUUUGGAAAAAAAUGUGAAUCAUUCACUACUGGAACUGCACAAACUGGCCACUGACAAAAAUGAGCCCCAUUGGUGUGACUUCAUUGAGACACAUUACCUGAAUGAGCAGGUGAAAGCCAUCAAAGAAUUGGGUGACCACAUGACCAACUUGCGCACGAUGGGAGCACCCGAAUCUGGCUUGGCAGAGUAUCUCUUUGACAAGCACACCCUGGGAGACAGUGAUAAUGGAAGCUAAGCCUCAGGCUAAUUUCCCCAUAGCCAUGGGGUGACUUCCCUGGUCACCAAGGCAGUGCAUGCAUGUUGGGGUUUCCUUUACCUUUUCUAUAAGUUGUACCAAAACAUCCACUUAAGUUCUUUGAUUUGUACCAUUCCUUCAAAUAAAGAAAUUUGGUACCC